UGAGGACUUUCUCCAUAUUCGUCGUGCAAAUCAUAUUUUAAAUAUGAUUGUGAAAGCGAGUCUAAAAUCAAUAGAGGCUUCCAUAUUUAACAUAAGAGAAAGUAUUAAAUAUGUCACAGGUUCUGAGUCGAGGAUAAUAGAGUUGGUGGAUUUUAUCAAGAAUCUUAGAUUGAAGUUUACCGGGAAAGUGCGUCAAGAUGUGCCUACGAGAUGGAACUCUACUUUUCUUAUGCUUGAGAGUGUGAUUCCUUAUCGUCAGGCCUUUUUUGACUUUAAAUUACUUGAUGUGAAUUUUAAGUGUUGUCCUUCAGAAAUGGAUUGGUAUAAGGCAGAAACAAUUGCCAACUUCCUAAAACCUUUUGAUGAAAUCACUACUUUAUUCUCGGGAAGGCAAUAUCCGACGGCCAAUUUAUUUUUUCAGAAAGUGUGGGAAAUUCAUUUGUUGAUAAUAGAAGUGAAAAACAGUCAAUACUCUGAUAUCAGGGAAAUGGCGGAGGAAAUGGAAAAGAAAUUUUCAAAGUAUUGGGAAGAUUAUACUCCAGUUUUAUCUUUGGCAGUCCUUCUUGAUCCUCGAUACAAGUUAAAGUUUGUGAAAUUUUGCUUUUCAAAGCUUGAUUUUUUGACUUGUAACGAAAAAGUGAAGGUUGUUGAAGAUAAUUUGCAUCGAUUAUUUAAGGAGUAUGUGAAAUCUCCAGCAGCUAAUAGCGCAUUGGUGGAAAGACUGUUGAUGGAUGUGAUAGUGAAGUGAGAUGUAAUGGAUGAGUAUGACUUGUUUGAGAGUCAGUCAGAAUCUAAUUUGGAGAAAACACAAUUAGAGUUAUAUUUGGAAGAGCCUAUACUUGUCCGAAAGGGAAAUGAAAAUCUAGAUGUACUUAAAUUUUGGAAAGAUAACAUGAUUAGAUACCCUGAGCUAUCAAUGAUGGCACGAGAUGUUUUAAGUAUACCUAUUAGUACUGUUGCGUCUGAAUCAACAUUCAGUAUUGAAGGACGAGUAAUUGGGAAAUAUGAAAGUUCAAUCUUACCAGAAAAUGCAGAAGCUAAGUUGUGUGCUCAGGAUUGGCUCUACGGACAUGGAGAUUUGUAUUGUCGAGUUUUUCUAAAGUUUCAGCUGAGAGUUAUUUGUCGAUUUGCAAAUCUAGAAGAACUGAGAAAGUGUUGCAGGAGACAUGGAAAGAGGCACUUGAACUAAAGACAUUGAAGAAUUAGCAAUUAUGUAAUUUUAUUUUAAGUUUUAUCCUAAAGGAAAAGACAUUGAAGAAUUAGCAAUUAUGUAAUUCUAUUUUAAGUUUUGGAGGAAAAACCUUCGAUUUUUAAUGUAAUGAAAAUGUAUGAAAUGAGUUGAAUUUUGUUGAGG